GGACGGGCUCUGGGCUUCAACUUGGCUGUCCUGGAGCGGCUUCUCCCUCUUGCGGUCGCAGGCGAGGCGGAGCUGUGUUUCCACACUCAGAACCGCAUAACAAGAGAAAAACAAUCUUGUUUGGCUGGACAACAUGGAAGAAUGAAUAAAAGGAGAGAAUAAGCUGCAAAUCCAAAGCCUUGAGGAGAGAGAGAGCAUGACUGAAAGGAAUAGAGAAUGGAACUGUUAGAUGAGAUGUCAUGUCAUAAAGAAAACAAGCAUUUUCCUUGUAAGGACGUAUCAACCACCAGCAAAGUGCUGAGAGCUUCCAAAUCUGUACCAUUAGUGCAGAUAUCUUUUCUGGGAUUCAGGACUGCCUAAACCCCACAUCUAGCUUUCAGUGAUCCAUCUGCUUAACUCCAUUUGUCUUGCUGUUAGCUUUCCUCAUGACUUGGACCAAACUCUGGGGAGAGCAAUGGCAUUCACUUUGCCUAAUAGAAUUGUGAAUAGACUCUUUAAUAUUCCAGGCACUUUCAGUUAUUAGAACUGUUCUAUUUCAGCCUUUAACAUCUCAGUCUUGCAUAUUUUAAGACUUCCCUCUCAAACUCUAUUCAAAGCUCUCUCUUUUCUUAAAAGCACAGCUAGGACUAUCUGGUUGGUCUUCAGUAACUUAGAACAAAGUUUCCACAUCCAACUUCCUCUUCUAGGUACUAG